GAUGGAGUGAUGACUCGGUAAUAUUCAAGCUCAACAUAUCAAAUCACAGGUCUCUCUGUACACGAGAUCGACCUAUAUGUAGAUUUUUCUGUUGAGUCGAUCCAUC
rnacentral:snoRNA from 1 species